AGCGAACGCUGGCAGCAGGCCUAAUACAUGCAAGUCGAGCGCACCUUCGGGUGAGCGGCGGACGGGUGAGUAACGCGUGGGAACGUGCCCUUUGGUACGGGAUAACUCAGGGAAACUUGAGCUAAUACCGUAUGUGCCCUUCGGGGGAAAGAUUUAUCGUCGUUGGAGCGGCCCGCGUUGGAUUAGCUAGUUGGUGGGGUAAAGGCCUACCAAGGCUACGAUCCAUAGCUGGUCUGAGAGGAUGAUCAGCCACACUGGGACUGAGACACGGCCCAGACUCCUACGGGAGGCAGCAGUAGGGAAUCUUGCGCAAUGGGCGAAAGCCUGACGCAGCCAUGCCGCGUGAAUGAUGAAGGUCUUAGGAUUGUAAAAUUCUUUCACCGGGGAAGAUAAUGACGGUACCCGGAGAAGAAGCCCCGGCUAACUUCGUGCCAGCCGCCGCGGUAA
rnacentral:rRNA from 1 species